rnacentral:rRNA from 1 species
UACGGAGGGUGCGAGCGUUGUCCGGAAUCACUGGGCGUAAAGGGCGCGUAGGUGGCGCGGAAAGUCAACGGUGAAAGCUUGGGGCUCAACCCCGAGUCGGCCGUCGAUACUUCUGGGCUUGAGCACUGUGGAGGCAGGUGGAAUUCCGGGUGUAGCGGUGGAAUGCGUAGAGAUCCGGAAGAACACCGGUGGCGAAGGCGGCCUGCUGGGCAGUAGCUGACACUGAUGCGCGACAGCGUGGGGAGCAAACAGG